AACGAACGCUGGCGGCGCGCUUAACACAUGCAAGUCGAACGAGAAGGCGUAGCAAUACGCUUGUACAGUGGCGAACGGGUGAGGAAUACAUGGGUAACCUACCCUCGAGUGGGGGAUAACCCGCCGAAAGGCGGGCUAAUACCGCGUACGCUUCCGAUCUUGCGGGAUUGGAAGGAAAGCUGUCCCUUGGGGAUGGCGCUCAAGGAUGGGCUCAUGUCCUAUCAGCUUGUUGGUAGGGUAACGGCCUACCAAGGCAUCGACGGGUAGCUGGUCUGAGAGGACGAUCAGCCACACUGGCACUGCGACACGGGCCAGACCUCCUACGGGAGGCAGCAGUGAGGAAUAUUGCGCAAUGGGCGAAAGCCUGACGCAGCGACGCCGCGUGGGGGA
rnacentral:rRNA from 1 species